rnacentral:rRNA from 1 species
AUUGAACGCUGGCGGCAGGCCUAACACAUGCAAGUCGAACGAGUGGCGGACGGGUGAGUAAUGUCUGGGAAACUGCCCGAUGGAGGGGGAUAACUACUGGAAAAGGUAGCUAAUACCGCAUACCAUCAGAUGUGCCCAGAUGGGAUUAGCUUGUUGGUGGGGUAAUGGCUCACCUAGGCGACGAUGCCUAGCUGGUCUGAGAGGAUGACCAGCCAGACUGGAACUGAGACACGGUCCAGACUCCUACGGUAGGUAGCAGUGGGGAAUAUUGCACAAUGGGCGCAAGCCUGAUGCAGCCAGGCCGCGGGUAUGAAGAAGGCCUUCGGGUUGUAAAGUACUUUCAGCGGGGAGGCGUUACUCGCAGAAGAAUCACCGGCUAACUCCGUGCCAGCCGCCGCGGUAAUUC